rnacentral:rRNA from 1 species
AUGUCACCAAAUAAUAGAAGUCCGGGGCCGGACGGGUUCACAAAUGAGUUCUAUAAUGAUUUCAAGCACCUGCUUAAGGAUGAUCUGCUCAAGUUCUUCGGGGAUUUCCAUGCAAAUCAAGUUGCUCUGGAUGGUAUCAACACGGCUUAUAUAACCUUGCUGCCCAAAGUGGAGUCGCCGAUGGAGAUGCGGGAUUUCAAGCCUAUAUCUCUGGUGCAUAGCGCCCCUAAACUGGUGUCCAAGGUGUUGACAUGCAGGCUACAGCGUUGCAUUCCAGGUUUAGUGCACUCACUGCAGUCUGGGUUUUUGAGAGGAAGAUCCAUUGUGGAAAAUUUUUCUUUGGCAACGAAAAUGACCCAAGCAGUGCAUAAAAGGAGGGCACCAGUGAUUGCUUUGAAGUUGGACUUACGCAAGGCUUUCGAUUCGGUCAGAUGGGAUUGCCUCACCCAGGUUAUGCAAGCCAGGGGUUCCCCCCCCCCCCUUGUGGGUGCAGUGGAUCCAUGCUCUCCUCUCCACUGGAUGAUCGAGAGUGUUGAUUAA